AUCCAACUACUCAGUCUCUAGUAUCAGAGGUCUGUGCUCUCUGUGACCCGCAGUCAAGCACUUCUUUGUCUCUGGCUUCCGCUCACUCCUCACUUCUACACUGUCCGUCAAGUUUAACCAAGCAGUCAAGCUACCAGGCGUCAGAACAACUGGGCCUCCUGUUCCUUCCAGCCUCAUACCAGAGUGAGAGGGGAGCUCAAAACAGCAAACUGUCUUCUUUCUGAGCUCUCAGUCACGAAACCAGAGAGAAGCACUUCCUCAUCAUCUACUUGCUGAUUUUUCAAACUUCUCUCCUAAAAAGUGCUCUGUCUGCAUCUCUGUAAGGCUGUGAUUGCUGGAUGCCAACAUGCCAUUCCUAGAAACCUCUGGAUUAUGG